rnacentral:rRNA from 1 species
CGGUAAUUCCAGCUCCAAUAGCGUAUACUAAAGUUGUUGCAGUUAAAAAGCUCGUAGUUGGAUUUCUGCGGGGACGGAGCGGCCGGACGCAACUUGCGUCUCGAGCUAGCGCUUUCCCCGCAUCCUGCCGCGAACCGUGCUACCAUUAGUUUGGUGGCGCUGGGGAUCGGCUCGAUUACUUUGAGAAAAAUAGAGUGUUCAAAGCAGGCCACACGCCUUGAAUAAGUUAGCAUGGAAUAAUGACUAAGGACUUCGGUUCUAUUUUGUUGGUGUUCGGGACUGAAGUAAUGAUUGAUAGGGACAGUUGGGGCGGUCUGUAUUCCAAAGCGAGAGGUGAAAUUCUUAGACCUUCGGAAGACAAACAGCUGCGAAAGCGUUCCGCAAGGAUGUUCCCUUUGAUCAAGAACGAAAGUUGGGGGAUCGAAGACGAUCAGAUGCCGUCGUAGUCUCAACUAUAAACUAUACCAGCUAGGGAUCGGCCAACGUUUAAUUAUUCGACUUGGUCGGCACCUUAUGAGAAAUCAAAGCAUCUGGGUUCCGGGGGGAGUAUGGUCGCAAGGCUGAAACUUAAAGGAAUUGACGGAAGGGCACCACCAGCCGUGGAGCCUGUGGCUUAAUUUGACUCAACACGGGAAAACUUACCAGGUCCAGACAUAGGAAGGAUUGACAGAUUGAUAGCUCUUUCUUGAUUCUGUGGGUGGUGGUGCAUGGCCGUUUUUAGUUGGUGGAGUGAUUUGUCUGCUUAAUUGCGUUAACGAACGAGACCCCAGCCUGCUAAAUAGCGCGGCCGAGCUUUGCUCGGUGCGAGCUUCUUAGAGGGACCAUGAUGCGCGAUAGCACAAGGAAGUUUGGGGCAACAACAGGUCUGUGAUGCCCUUAGAUGUUCUGGGCCGCACACGGGCUACACUGGCGCCUGCAACGAGCAUAUCAGCUGGCCCGAGAGGGUCUUGGCUAAUCUUUUGAACCGGCGCCGUGCUUGGGAUUGACCUUUGCAAUUGUUGGUCAUGCAACGAGGAAUGCCUUGUAAACGCGAGUCAUCAGCUCGCAUUGAAUACGUCCCUGCCCUUUGUACACACCGCCCGUCGCUCCUACCGAUGAAUGUUCCGAUGAAAUUUUCGGAGAGCGCCAGAGAACGGGGCUCUGCCUUGUAGAUCUGGAGGCUCAAAGUCACUUAAAUCUGAAUAUUUCGAGGAAGGAGAAGUCGUAACAAGGUAACC